CAGCCAUCCUCUCUAGUUACGGCUGCAGAUACAUCAUGUGGGCAGGUUCAGGGGGAUUGACUUGUGGUAAAUAAUUACCUCGUCUAUUACUGAUCUCCCUCAUCUGCAUAUUCCCGGAAGGAGAAAAAGAAACACAAGGUUGAGAGGACCAUCUUUCCAUCACCUUUACUUUCUAUAUUCUUUCUUCCUAAUUCUCAGGAGAGAAAAGGAGGGCGAAAAGAGAAAAGCAUCUGGUCGUAUGCUUUUUGCUCAACGCUGGUUUUCUUUUUCUUUUACUUAAAAGAGAUUUGUAAAGAGAAUCUAAAAUGUUAAUCUAUUUGGCAUUAUAGUUUUAGAGAUAUUGAAUUCUUUUCAAAUUUUUCAGCACUGACAGAUUGCCCACACAAGAAAAUAUUUAUAUCAAAAACAUGCAUACAGCGUCUUCGCUUUGGUUACGUCAAAUAAAAACACUUCAUGAUGUGCUUAAAGUAAAUGAUGGUGCAAAGGCAUGAUGCUUUCAUAAAGUCAGAAGUCUUACUUAAUAAUAAUGAUCUUUAUGAACAAACAAACAAACAAACAAUAGGUAGACUAAUGAUCCAGAUCAUUCCUUCAUAUUAGUAUUUCUUAUUUUAUGUGGCUUGAGUGCUCAUGUGGAAUUCACAAAUGGAUACUUACACAAGACUUAUGGGUUCACGCAUGGCAGGUUGUGACAGUCAUUCAAAAUAAGGUUAGUUAGCUGUGGAGCUUAUACUUAGUAUAUGACCUACAUAUCCUCAAAUAUUUCCUCAGGUUGAUCCAUGGCCACACAACUAGCAGAAGAAUUUAUAAAAAAAACAUUGUUAAUGGAAAGGUUUGGAUCUAGAGUGAAGUCAUAAACACAUGCAGUCUGUCCCCAUGUUCAGCCUUGCUUGAGCCAACACUGGUUAAAAAUGUAAAUGAUUUUAACGUAAAUAUAGUUAUGGCAGAGAAGAAAGAAAGAGAGAAGGACGAAAUCACACUAAACACCGCUUUAUUCAAAGUGUCUAAAGAAACAGCAUUGGUUUAAUAUUUCUAGCUCACAGAAUGAAAUUACUCAUGUAGAGCUCGUAGUGUGCCCUCGGAGAUUUCUGAUGCUGUAGACUGUAAUGUUUUUGAUGGUCUUAUGGUUAGAACUGAAGUCAAUGGAUACUUGUGUGACUUUUUUCUAUUAUCCAUACAUGAUAUUCUAAUAUCAAUUUCAGACCAUAAAUAAUGUGACAAGUUUGAAAGGAAACUGUGGUAAAUGAUUGGGUGAAAGUUUGCUAGUUAUUAUGCUUGAUAUGACCUGGUAACUAUGUGCAUCCAAAUAAUAUGACAGACCUACAAGAGGUUUCUGUGG